UACGAAGGGUGCUAGCGUUGUUCGGAAUUACUGGGCGUAAAGCGCGUGUAGGCGGGCCGUUAAGUUGGGGGUGAAAGCCCAGAGCUCAACUCUGGAAUUGCCUUCGAUACUGGCGGCCUGGAGCAUGAUAGAGGCGAGUGGAAUUGCGAGUGUAGAGGUGAAAUUCGUAGAUAUUCGCAGGAACACCAGUGGCGAAGGCGACUCGCUGGAUCAUUGCUGACGCUGAGACGCGAAAGCGUGGGGAGCAAACAGG
rnacentral:rRNA from 1 species